rnacentral:tmRNA from 1 species
GGGGCUGACUGGAUUUGACAGCGGGCAGAAGUGAUAUGUAAGCAUGCAGAGCCUCCUUAGGUUUGCUCUUUAAUCUGAGCCUAUGAACUUAUAACUGGCGAGAAUAACUACGCUCUUGCUGCCUAAUCGAAGUACAGUAGAUUGGCUUAAUUUCGCUACAAGGUAGCGAAACAAGACAUCGCUCGGAUGCUGUUGUUCCGAAGCUAUCCCAUUAAGCGGUGCUAUUAUAUCGGGAAUAGUUUGUGGUGAGCCUUGCACCUCGAAUGAAAUUUUAAAGGCUAAGGUAUAUGAUUGGUAGCUUUGGUCUUGUCGAUACCCUACAAUUUAAGCAAAGAUAAGCAUGUAGAAAGCCUAUUGUUUCCCUGUAUGGACGAGGGUUCAAUCCCCUCCAGCUCCACUU